rnacentral:rRNA from 1 species
CGGAGGAUCCAAGCGUUAUCCGGAAUCAUUGGGUUUAAAGGGUCCGUAGGCGGUUUGAUAAGUCAGUGGUGAAAGCCCAUCGCUCAACGAUGGAACGGCCAUUGAUACUGUCAGACUUGAAUUACUGGGAAGUAACUAGAAUAUGUAGUGUAGCGGUGAAAUGCUUAGAUAUUAUAUGGAAUACCAAUUGCGAAGGCAGGUUACUACCAGUGGAUUGACGCUGAUGGACGGAAGCGUGGGGAGCGAACAGGAUUAGAUACCCUGGUAGUCCACGCCGUAAACGAUGGAUACUAGCUGUUGGGCGCAAGUUCAGUGGCUAAGCGAAAGUGAUAAGUAUCCCACCUGGGGAGUACGUUCGCAAGAAUG